rnacentral:tRNA from 2 species
CCUCUGUAGUUCAGUCGGUAGAACGGCGGACUGUUAAUCCGUAUGUCACUGGUUCGAGUCCAGUCAGAGGUG